rnacentral:lncRNA from 1 species
AUACUUGGAACCAUUGCAGUUUUCUUUUUUUCCCGCUCCUUUUGUAAUUCUUGAUCUUUUCCUGUUGUUUUUUAUAUUCCACUAUGAGGCCCAUGGUCAUAUUUUUGCCAUGAUGGCGUCCAUGUCUAUGUCAUGUCAUGGGCCGCUUGUUUAAUUAGUGUCAUUCCACAUUAGCUGCAAGGCGAUCUCCUAGUUUCUAGGAGUACCAUUUUGAGAAGGCACCCCAUUCGAGAUGGCAUUCUACAUUGUUUUUUUAAGGAACAAAUGACAUGAUAUCUUGAGUUGUUAUAAAACCGGUUCAAUAAUAACCAUUGAAAACCGAACA